UCGCAAGUCUUCCAGCGUGGCUGGGUCGUGUCCAUGACCCUGAUCAUUCCUGUAGAACUUGCAAGAGCAAAUCUGUGAUGGUUUGAGGCCUUGCUCUGCUCCGACUUCAGAGUGAGGUUAUAGAAAUCUCGGACAAGC